rnacentral:rRNA from 1 species
CCUACGGGAGGCAGCAGUGGGGAAUAUUGGGCAAUGGGGGCAACCCUGACCCAGCGACGCCGCGUGAGGGAAGAAGGCCUUAGGGUCGUAAACCUCUGUUGUGUGGGAAGAAGGAAGUGACGGUACCACACGAGGAAGUCCCGGCUAACUACGUGCCAGCAGCCGCGGUAAUACGUAGGGGACGAGCGUUGUCCGGAAUUACUGGGCGUAAAGGGCGCGUAGGCGGGACUUUAAGUCAGGUGUGAAAGACCGAGGCUCAACCUCGGGGUUGCACUUGAAACUGGAGUUCUUGAGGGCAGGAGAGGAAAGCAGAAUUCCUGGUGUAGCGGUGAAAUGCGUAGAAAUCAGGAGGAAUACCAGUGGCGAAGGCGGCUUUCUGGACUGACCCUGACGCUGAGGUGCGAAAGCGUGGGUAGCAAACAGGAUUAGAUACCCUGGUAGUCCACGCUGUAAACGAUGGAUACUAGGUGUGGGAGGUAUCGACCCCUUCCGUGCCGCAGCUAACGCAAUAAGUAUCCCGCCUGGGGAGUACGGUCGCAAGGCUGAAACUCAAAUGAAUUGACGG